rnacentral:tRNA from 1 species
UGGCUCAGAGAGUAAAGCAUCUGCCUGAAAUGCAGGAAACCCAGGUUCGAUUCCUGG